AAACUAUUAGAGAUCUAGAGAGCCCAAGGCACUUGGGCCAUGCUCGUCCUUGCUAAACUAAGACUUUGAUACCACCACUUGGUAGAGAUUUUAGAGAUCUAGGGAACCCAAACUACUCAGUCUUAUGAAAAGAUCACACCCAAAAACUUUACAUCACAUACAACCCAAAAGCGCAACGAGUCGAUGUAGAAAUUCCAUACUCAUAUAUUUCCAACAUAAACCACAACAUCCAACUCUAAUCAGCCGACCCAUCUUGCAUUACCAAUGCCAUAAACUAGCGAUCAGGAACAAACAAGCGACGCAAAUAAAUAAACCAGAGAAAAACGAUCAAAACCAGAGAAAAACGAUCAAAACCAAUAACAGAACGCCCAAAACUCA
rnacentral:misc_RNA from 1 species